rnacentral:tRNA from 1 species
UUCCGUUUCGUCUAACAGGCAGGACAACAGACUUUGACUCUGUCAAUGGGAGUUCGAUCCUCUCAACGGAAG